CUGGUGACGAAUACGUGCGGGGAAACACCUGAUCCCAUUCCGAACUCAGUAGUAAAGUCCGCACGGCCGAUGGUAGUCCUGAUCGGGCAAGAGUAGGUGAUCGCCAGC
rnacentral:rRNA from 1 species